rnacentral:lncRNA from 1 species
AAGUCACAGAGAAGAAGACACGGGCAGAUUAUUUGAUUAUAUCAGUAGUGAAAGAUGUUUAUCAGCUUAAACAAAAUCAAAAUGUGUAAGUAAUCACUGCUUGUUCGUUAGCCUUUUAAAUUUUUCUGCAUGAUGGAACAUUCUUGAUAUAGAGUAUACACCAUAUCAGUGAACAACUAUACUACUAAUCUUCACAUGUAUAAGCAUCAAUUUUGUUCACCUGAGGAUGAUUUAUUUUGAUUUACCUUCCGUGUUUGUUCAUCUUUAGCCCAAUUUCUUGCCACAAAUAAAAAAUCAGCAAACCACAUUGAGCAACCUAGAACCUGCAUAGAUAAGUUAAGAUCAAAUUUUCAUCUCACAACCUAUUUACCAAAAAGUUUGUCUUUUAAGUGCUUAUGUAUAAAAAGUUACAUAAAGGUAUUAGAUUUCAUUCUUCGUAAUGGCAACAGUGCUACUAAGACUGUGCUGUCACACAUUGUUUUUGUACUAAUAAAGUUUAACCUGGAAUUUUAAGAAGUCUCAAUAUGCAUUGUAGCAUUAUUAGCAACACGCCACAUGACAUAACAAAUGUCAUAUGGACAAACCUGCUAUAAAGUUCCUGGACAGAAAUGAUGAAAUUGAACAUAAUAGUUACUAAAUAUUUAAAAUUUUAAUCCAAGAGUAAAGUUUUGUAAAAGAUGUAUUCAAUAAAAACUUGUUGAGCAACGCAACACAACCUAUGUGUAAAAUAUUAUAAGUGGAUUUUUUUUUUAAAUUGUAAAGUGAAAAAGGAAAAAGGUUAGGAGGUUAGGAAGUCAUAGUUAACCACACAUACUAAAUGUCAUUCUAAGUUUGAUCCUACUCAUCAUGACACAAGAAUAGUAACAGAUGGAUGGAUUCAAAAUAACAUUGGGGAAAUAAAACAACAUACCUAACAGAAUCAAUUGAAAUGAAUAAAAAGUUGUUAGUUACUAUCUAAAUGACAUCAAGAAUGCGAUUUUCCUCUUUCUUUCAGCAUACAUGGCUUCUUGAGUGUUGUUGAUGAGACGAAACAGUUCUAAUCGCAUCUCACCAAGCUAUAUAAUUUCAUCCAUUAACCGUAAGCGUCUUUUCUGCAGUGGCGAGGAAGUAUGAUGAGGUGACGAUAGUGUGAUCAUGUAAAAACUCUAUCUUUCGUUUCUUAUUAGGUUUUGGUGCCGCUGGGGUUGACGUAAAUGAAAUCCGAGAACAUGGUGAUGAAUGUGGUGACUCCAUCAGAAGAGAACACAGUUGUUGUUGUUAUUAUUGUCGUUUGUUUAGAAUAGAACACAGAAAAAUUGAGAAAAAGAAUAUUAGAGAGAAAUGAGAGGUCGAAACAAAGUUGUUGUUAUUGUCGUUUGUUUAGAAUAGAACACAGAAAAAUUGAGAAAAAAAAUAUUAGAGAGAAAUGAGAGGUCGAAACAAAGUUGUUGUUAUUGUCGUUUGUUUAGAAUAGAACACAGAAAAAUUGAGAAGACAGAAAGAUUGAGAAACAAGAUUAUUAGAAAGGAUUGAAACAACGAUGACUGUUUGUUGUAUUUGUAAUGUUUGGUAGCUACUCAAUCAUUCACAACGUUGACUGUUUGUUGUAUUUGUAAUGUUUGGUAGCUUCUCAAUCAUUCACAACGUUGACUGUUUGUUGUAUU